rnacentral:rRNA from 1 species
AUUGAACGCUGGCGGCAGGCUUAACACAUGCAAGUCGAGCGAGCGGCGGACGGGUGAGUAAUGUCUGGGACACUGCCUGAUGGAGGGGGAUAACUACUGGAAACGGUAGCUAAUACCGCAUACCAUCAGAUGUGCCCAGAUGGGUUUAGCUAGUAGGUGUGGUAAUGGAGGACCUAGGCGACGAUCCCUAGCUGGUCUGAGAGGAUGACCAGCAAAGCUGGAACUGAGACACGGUCCAGACGCCUACGGGAGGCAGCAGUGGGGAAUAUUGCACAAUGGGCGCAAGCCCGAUGCAGCAAUGCCGCGUGUGUGAAGAAGGCCUGCGGGUUGUAAAGCACUUUCAGCGAGGAGGCGUUACUCGCAGAAGAAGCAACGGCUAACUCCGUGCCAGCAGGCGCGGUAAUUC